rnacentral:rRNA from 1 species
GAUGAACGCUGGCGGCGUGCCUAAUACAUGCAAGUCGAGCGAACGGACGAGAAGCUUGCUUCUCUGAUGUUAGCGGCGGACGGGUGAGUAACACGUGGAUAACCUACCUAUAAGACUGGGAUAACUUCGGGAAACCGGAGCUAAUCCCGGAUAAUAUUUUGAACCGCAUGGUUCAAAAGUGAAAGACGGUCUUGCUGUCACUUAUAGAUGGAUCCGCGCUGCUUUAGCUAGUUGGUAAGGUAACGGGUUACCAAGGCAACGAUGCAUAGCCGACCUGAGAGGGUGAUCGGCCACACUGGAACUGAGACACGGUCCAGACGCCUACGGGAGGCAGCAGUAGGGAAUCUUCCGCAAUGGGCGAAAGCCUGACGGAGCAACGCCGCGUGAGUGAUGAAGGUCUUCGGAUCGUAAAACUCUGUUAUUAGGGAAGAACAUAUGUGUAAGUAACUGUGCACAUCUUGACGGUACCUAAUCAGAAAGCCACGGCUAACUACGUG